rnacentral:rRNA from 1 species
AGUGGCGGACGGGUGAGUAACGCGUGAGAAUCUGCCUUGGGGUCGGGGACAACCACUGGAAACGGUGGCUAAUACCGGAUAAGCCGAUUGGUGAAAGAUUUAUUGCCCGAAGAGGAGCUCGCGUCUGAUUAGCUAGUUGGUGAGGUAAGAGCUCACCAAGGCAGCGAUCAGUAGCUGGUCUGAGAGGACGAUCAGCCACACUGGGACUGAGACACGGCCCAGACUCCUACGGGAGUCAGCAGUGGGGAAUUUUCCGCAAUGGGCGAAAGCCUGACGGAGCAAGACCGCGUGAGGGAGGAAGGCUCUUGGGUUGUAAACCUCUUUUCUCAGGGAAGAAGCUCUGACGGUACCUGAGGAAUCAGCCUCGGCUAACUCCGUGCCAGCAGCCGCGGUAAUACGGAGGAGGCAAGCGUUAUCCGGAAUUAUUGGGCGUAAAGCGUCCGCAGGUGGCGAUUCAAGUCUGCUGUCAAAGCACGGGGCUUAACUCCGUAAAGGCAGUGGAAACUGAAUAGCUAGAGUGCCGUAGGGGUAGAGGGAAUUCCCGGUGUAGCGGUGAAAUGCGUAGAGAUCGGGAAGAACAUCGGUGGCGAAAGCGCUCUACUGGACGGCAACUGACACUCAGGGACGAAAGCUAGGGGAGCGAAUGGGAUUAGAUACCCC